UUAAAAUUUAAAUUUAUUUUUUUUUUGUUUUAAAUAAAGUUUUAUUUUGGCUUUAAAUUUUAAUUUAUCAUUAUUUUAUAUGUAAAAAUUAUAUUAAAAAAUAAAAUUCUUGCAGUUUUUAAUAUUAAAAAAUUAUUAAAGUGAGUUUUAGUAAUUGAUUAAAGAUUUGAUAAAAUUUGUGCCAGCAAUUGCGGUUAUACAAAUAAUUCGAUUAAAAUUUAUUGGUUAAUAAUUAAUUUAUUUGUAAAAAUUUAUAAUUGGAAUUUUUAAGUGAAAUUUAAAUUUUAAUUUAUUUUUAUUUUUAAUAUUUGAAGUUAUUAAAAUUAGUAUUAAACUAGGAUUAGAUACCCUAUUAUUAUAAUUGUAAAUUUAAAUACUUGAUUAGUAUUAGUUAUUUUCUUAAAAAUUAAAAAAUUUGGCGGUAUUUUAGUCUAUUCAGAGGAACCUGUUCUAUAAUUGAUAGUCCACGAUUAGUUUUACUUUCUUUAUACUUGUAUAUCGUUGUUUUUGAAUAUUUUAUAAGAAUUAUAAUUUUCAAUAAGUAUAUUUUAGUUUAUUUCAGAUCAAGGUGCAGUUUAUAGGAAAGAAGAAAUGGGUUACAUUAAAUUUAUUUUUGGUUUAUUGUCUUGAAAGAUUUUAUUAAAUUGGAUUUGAUAGUAAUAAUAUAUAUAUAUAUAUUAUGAUUUUAGCUCUAAAGUGUGCACAUAUUGCCCGUCGCUCUCAUUAAUUUGAGAUAAGUCGUAACAAAGUAGAUUUACUGGAAAGUGUAUCUAGGAUUAUUC
rnacentral:ncRNA from 1 species